CCGUCAGGAUUUUGGACCCAAAUUAUAGCUUCUGCGAUCUGAGAACCAUCUUCGCUGUCCAGACAUAUGGAAUCUCUAAACCGAUGUAUGAGCAUCUUAUCCCUUACGUCACACUCAGCGUCACCUUCUUAUCUCUUUGUAUUCUAGGUUACAGUUACUACAGAUAUGUGUAUAUAUUCCGUGAAAUACAAGAAAGGGCAAAAGCUAAAAAAUCUUAAAAACUCUGUUUUUAGUUUAUAAAAAUCAGUUUAUAAAAAUAUUUUAAUAAAGCUUGGUGUUAACGGUGUUUGGUGAUAUUUGCAUUGGAAAUCAUUUA